GAUGAACGCUGGCGGCGUGCUUAACACAUGCAAGUCGAACGGUGAACGAGGGAGCUUGCUCCCUCCGGAUCAGUGGCGAACGGGUGAGUAACACGUGAGCAAUCUGCCCUGGACUCUGGGAUAAGCGUUGGAAACGACGUCUAAUACCGGAUACGAGGCGUGGGGGCAUCCCCAACGCCUGGAAAGAACUUCGGUCCAGGAUGAGCUCGCGGCCUAUCAGGUGGUCGGUGAGGUAACGGCGCACCAAGCCUAAGACGGGUAGCCGGCCUGAGAGGGUGACCGGCCACACUGGGACUGAGACACGGCCCAGACUCCUACGGGAGGCAGCAGUGGGGAAUAUUGCACAAUGGGCGCAAGCCUGAUGCAGCAACGCCGCGUGAGGGACGACGGCCUUCGGGUUGUAAACCUCUUUUAGCAGGGAAGAAGCGAAAGUGACGGUACCUGCAGAAAAAGCACCGGCUAACUACGUGCCAGCCGCCGCCGUAAAAC
rnacentral:rRNA from 1 species